rnacentral:rRNA from 1 species
GACGAACGCUGGCGGCGUGCUUAACACAUGCAAGUCGAACGGAAAGGCCCUGCUUUUGUGGGGUGCUCGAGUGGCGAACGGGUGAGUAACACGUGAGUAACCUGCCCUUGACUUUGGGAUAACUUCAGGAAACUGGGGCUAAUACCGGAUAGGAGCUCCUGCUGCAUGGUGGGGGUUGGAAAGUUUCGGCGGUUGGGGCUGGACUCGCGGCUUAUCAGCUUGUUGGUGGGGUAGUGGCUUACCAAGGCUUUGACGGGUAGCCGGCCUGAGCGGGUGACCGGCCACAUUGGGACUGAGAUACGGCCCAGAAUCCUACGGGAGGCAGCAGUGGGGAAUAUUGCACUAUGGGCGGAAGCCUGAUGCAGCAGCGCCGCGUGCGGGAUGACGGCCUUCGGGUUGUAAACCGCUUUCGCCUGUGACGAAGCGUGAGUGACGGUAAUGGGUAAAGAAGCACCGGCUAACUACGUG